rnacentral:rRNA from 1 species
GAUUAACGCUGGCGGCGUGCCUAACACAUGCAAGUCGAACGAGGUAGCAAUACCUAGUGGCAGACGGGUGAGUAACGCGUGGUCAACCUACCGUUGUGUGGGGGAUAACUAGCCGAAACGGUUAGCUAAUACCGCAUACGUCUCCGAGCGGCGAUCGCUCGGCGAUAAAAGGAAGCAAUCCGCACGACGACGGGACCGCGUCCCAUUAGCUAGAUGGUGGGGUAACGGCCUACCAUGGCNCCGAUGGUAGCUGGUUUGAGAGAGCGACCAGCCACACUGGGACUGAGAAACGGCCCAGACUCCUACGGGAGGCAGCAGUGAGGAAUUUUCCGCAAUGGGCGAAAGCCUGACGGAGCGACGCCGCGUGU